rnacentral:rRNA from 1 species
UAGGGAAUCUUCCACAAUGGACGAAAGUCUGAUGGAGCAACGCCGCGUGAGUGAAGAAGGGUUUCGGCUCGUAAAACACUGUUGUAAGAGAAGAAUGACAUUGAGAGUAACUGUUCAAUGUGUGACGGUAUCUUACCAGAAAGGAACGGCUAAAUACGUGCCAG